CCACGUCUGGGCACUCCUGAGUCACAGGCUCAGAAGCUUUCGCCUCCGCCUUCAGACUGGCCCUCAGGCUUCCCUGCUCAGAGGCAGGGAAUUGUGCAGCUGGAGUUUCAUUUUCCAAGAGGCAGGGUCUCAGUCUGUCACCCAGGCUGGAGUACAGUGGCACCAUCUUGGCUCACUCUAGCCUCGACCUCCUGGGCUCAAGUGAGCCUCCUACCUCAGUCUCCCAAAAUGCUGGGAUUACAAGCAUGAACCACUGUGACUUGCCUUCUUGGCAAUUUUAAAUGAAAGAAGAAGAUGGAAUAAUGCCUACUGAGGACUAUGUUUGAGGGGUGUUGUAUGACCCCGUUUUCCAUACCCAGCCAACUUGUCAUGUGACAAGUCCACAGAAAGAUGUUAUAUGACAGGAAUCUAUGAACUAGUCUUCCCUGAAAUGUACCUGACUACAGCUAACAUCAUAUCACAUGAUGAAAGACCGCGUUGUUUUCCCCUGAGGUUGGCAUGGGGACCUAUUGCUCACAGGAAGAAAAAAACAGCGUCCUUAUUUUGUGACUUCUGGCAACUGUCUUUUUCCGAGGAAGCCCCUUCCCUUCUGCCCUGCCUCUGAGUUCAAGCCGGGAUGCAGCUCCUAGUGUUUUCAAGCGUCUUACAGAUGGAGAUCAGCCCCGUCUUCCUCCAACGUCCCCACCCCGCAUCGGAGUCAGGACUCCACGGUGCUGUGGUCAGCACGGCUGCAUGGUCCUGCGACCCUGAGCCCCAGUGGGCUCUGACUGUGGUUACCAGCGCCUUAGGAGACAGAGUAACAGUCUGGAAGCAGAAACAGAGACUGUCCAUUUCAUAAACAGCCACAUCCGCAAGGUUUAUUCCUGGAUCACAAACCAACCCCACUGACCAAACUCCCAAGUCACUUUAUAUUAAACUUGUUAUCAAAUCACCCACAUAAAUAUAUAUAAUAAAUACAAAAACAGA
rnacentral:lncRNA from 1 species